rnacentral:lncRNA from 1 species
GCGGCGGUGAGCGGCGGGCUAGAAGGCGGCUGCGGCUGCCCUGGCUCUGCUCUUGACCGCCGCCAGCCCCGGGAACUUUCCGACGCCGCCGGGAGACGGGGGACGGGCAGCCCGGGCUGGGACGCGGCCGGACCGCUGGAGCCGUGCGGGCUGGGGAAGAAGGUCUGCUGCGCCUCUGCCAACGUCCCGGGGCCUGGGACCCGGGGGCGUCGUGGGACCCCCGUGGGGACGGGUUUUCCUUUCCGAGACUCCGCGGAGAAACCUGGCGGCCGCCAGCGGAGCAUGCUUUUCCGGGGGGCGCUGGCCCCGAUACUGUGGCACCUUGCGGGGCUCUGCCCGGACCAUGGCUGACGUCGACGGCCCUCGGAGGCCUCCAAGCCACACAACCUGCCCGGACCCCUGGAAAUAUGCCCCAUCCUACCUCCCCGCCUUUCUCCAGACAACAUCCUGUGUCGCUUUCUUUCCUCAGCCUGUUUUCUACAGCAGGGAUUCGCACCCACUGCACCCUAAACCCAGCAGGGGGACUUCCGUGGCUGGAAACUACUGAAUUGUUCUUUCAGAGGUCUCUCAGGACGGCACCACUAGGUCCCCAUUCUCCUUGAUAGUGAACUCUGCAGCCCUCUCCUUGGGGUUUCAAGUCUUUUUUUUUUUUUUUUUUUUUUUAAUGAGACGGAGUCUAGCCCUUGUCGCCCAGGCUGGAGUGCAGUGGCACGAUCUCGGCUCACUGCAACCUCCGCCUCCCGGUUUCGAGCGAUUCUCCUGCCUCAGCCUCCCUAGUAGCUGGGAUUACAGGCACCUGCCACCACACCUGGCUAAUUUUUGUGUUGUUAGUAGAGACGGGGUUUCACCAUGUUGGCCAGGCUGGUAUGGAACUCCUGACCUCAGGUAAUCCACCCGCCUCGGCCUCCUAAAGUGGUGGGGUUACACGUAUGAGCCACCGCGCCCGGCCUCAAGUCUUAAUCAUUCUUUUUCUGUCCUUUAAAGGAGACGUGUCUUUAGGAAGCAGAGAGGGUUCGAUUCUGGACUCCGCCCAUGACUCACUUCUCUUGUAAAGAAAGAGUUGUCCUUCCUGGUACUCCAGGUUUAUGGGAUGCAGGAUAAUGGAGCAUGCUCUAUCUGGGACAUUGCUAGUCUUAUGACAGAGGGAGAAGACAGCGAUGAGUUUUCGAAGAACUCCAGGAAGUGGCUGCAGAGCAAAGUAGGAUCCUGAUACUGAGCUCAAGUGAUUCAGAAUGAAAAGACCUUGGCACAGACCUGUUAAGGAAGCUCCAUAUAAGGUGAAGAAAACAACAUGCUCAGCCAUGUCCUUGCCUUCUGCACACGGUAGUGCAUUCACUGCCUGAGAAUUCAAGGCUAAAACAAAAAGAGGAGCUUUUGUUCCAACAGAUAAGUACUUACCUUUUUCAAAAAAUGCAUAAGCUGUCCUGGGUGUUUAGCAGUUAUUCGCACAGCUUUCCAAAGACUCACAGCAUUUAAAAGCUAACUCUACAGAGAUUCAACAGCUUCUUCCAGAUCCCACCACAGUGGAAAAGAACUCCGGUGUCCUGGCUCCCUGUCCAGCUCUUCUCUCUCCCCUUCCAGCUGCCAGUUCAGCUUUAAGAAGUUCAUUCUCCACAUUCAGAUGCAGGCAAAUGCGUUUGACUUGAGCAUAUUGAUUUCAGGCAGGUGAGAGUGGAUGUAGCGAUUCAGCUUGACAAAUAUUUAGAUCAGUUAAGUGUCCUUUAUAAAGAAGCACUUGAACUCAGUGUUUCCUUUACCCGACCAUUUCACUCCACAAGCUACCUCCCCAGCAUAAAAUAUUCAAAUUAUUUCUAAAUUUCAUCUACUGAAAAAAUACUUCUAGGCCCUAUAGCUACAUGAUAUCUCCACUGGGAGCCCUGUCCUUUCCAUGCCCUGGGAAAACCCGAUCUAAAGCAGAUUUAAAUGACUCAGCAGUAGGACUCAGGUCUCUGUCUCUGCCUGCUUACUUGGGGAGUGCUCCAGCCUUAGGGGCUCUCUUGCACUCCAACAUAGGAAAGAAAUUAUCGAUGGCUCCAUUCCCCAGCAUUUGAGACUUUUCUUCCCACAGACACAUUCCUGAGGACACCAGUCAUGGGUAAAGAACUCCACUGGGGUCAGCGUUGGAUCCCACUAGGCAGUUUAGGACUUGUAAGUAGAGUAGUGUGGACUUGGUGUUCCCAGAGCCUCUCACUCAUGAUUCAUGGCUCUCCACCCCAAGCAUCGGAACUUGCCCAACUUCACCACAGAAGGAAACAGACUGUAAGCUUGGAGGGCCAGGGAGGAAACCGGAGGCAUGUGUGGGAGGAUUAGAAACAUGAAAAGAUAUUUACAGUAAGGUUCGCUUGUCAUCCUCUUGAACUGGGGGUGCAUAGAGUACAAUAAGACCCCAUGUGAGUAUGUUAGAUGAUAAGGCUCAGGUUGGAUGGGUGUGUAGAGUAAAGGCUUUGCAUCACCUUUGCCAGGGUGAGGGAAGGCUAUGGAUAGCACAGGGGACCUUGAUGAUCGGGUGAGGGAGCCCAUGUGGACAUAGUGGUCACCAGCUACUUCCUAGUUCUCUACAUGGGAGAAAGAGCCCUUCUCUGUAAUCAUGGAAGCUCAAGUUCUUGGUGGUUCAGAGGUUAGAGACCUCUGAUUACUAGGACAGAGCAGAAUAGCAGGGCUGGUCCUGGUAGAUCAGACAUCUCAUGACAUCCUUUAAAAGGGACUAGAAUAUUCAGAACUCCGGUGUAACUAAAUGAUCCUCAAGCUUUACCAGCAGGUGAGCAAGGUCCCAUUGUAUUUGGUACUCACAUCCCCACCAAUUCUGUAAAAGUUUGCCAACUUUCCCCUCCAUCCCCUGCACCCUUUCACCAAAAGAUAUGCCUAAGAGUUCCCAAGAGACGUCUAACAUAGGCCUGCAUGUCAGCCCAGUCUUCUGGGCUGAGCUGCUGCACUGUUGCUGGCCUUGAUGGCUGAACCUGAUCUCUGUUGUGGCACCCACCACUCUUUCUCAAGCCUUGACACCUUGGCAGGCUUUGGCAAAAAGAGGAGAGCUGUUCUUCCUCGGCAUUAUGUUCACUUAGCAGGGUCCCACAGCAGGAUUGCUUGGACCCCAGAGUAUUGUAGGGCUUAAUAAGACCAGCCCUUUCAUCUCACACGCUCUAUCCUUUCUCUCACUGGUGCACCCACGUCAGGUGUCUUGAGUGGGGAGUGCUCGAAUAUCUGCCACCAGCUUGAGUCAGAACCUCGACUUCCCUCAGCUUUUCAGGGUCUGUUACUGAGUCUGGUCCACACUCCAGGGUCUUUUCCUCACGGUCUGGGUCUGGUCUUUUUCAGGUGCCUACCUUUCCUCCCUGCAAACUGCCUUGAGUUGCCUCCCCUUCUCCCUUCCUUCCUGGUCUGUCAGAGACAUCUUGUCUGGGUGCAUAUUUGAACCCCAUCAGUAGACAGAAAACAUGUAUUUCCUUGAAGGCCCCUCAGACCCCAGGUACAAACAUUGAAGUAAAUAACAGCAGGGAUGGGGGUUCUGCCUCGCUUCACCUGCCAGCCACGUGCAGACCUUGUUUCAGUCCAACUGAGACUUUAGCAAGUGCUUCAUUCUGGUUUGUGAAUGGCUUCCCAGUGUCUGUCACUGUGUUCACAGGGCCACCGGGGUUGGCUGAGUCAGAAUACCAGCCAUGUGGCAUGUCGCAUGGGGCAAGAGCUGUGCUGCCCAUGGGAGUCCAGAGAAGGAGCACACUAAGGACCAACACCAGCUCUGCAGAUGAGCAAUAUCAUCACAACUAACCAAUUGAUCAAUUAUUCAUUCAGUCAUUUAAUGAGAAGCUACUGUGUACCCAUCCUUUCCUUGGCCUUCUGGACAGUUAGACAUGGUGCCUGUCUUCAGAUUGCUCACACACCAGUUGGAGACACAAAAGUUACAUGCAACUCCUCUCCAUUGGAUCUCUAGCACCUAGAAUAGAGCUGGGUACACAUGAUGAGGUGCUUAAUACGUAUUUGUCAAAUUGAAUGUCAAGUUUUAGGAGUUUAAAGAGUGUUUUCAAAUGGGGAGAAGCCGAGACACAAAUAGUCUCAGGAAUGAGAUGAAAUUAUUUAACCAAUUGGAGAUGAAAUUCGAAAUGGAAACUAUGACAUGACUCAACAUCCUCAAGCCCUGAAGUAAUAAUUAGCACAUAAAGUUGGUCUGU